rnacentral:rRNA from 1 species
GACGAACGCUGGCGGCGUGCUUAACACAUGCAAGUCGAACGGAAAGGCCCUGCUUUUGUGGGGUGCUCGAGUGGCGAACGGGUGAGUAACACGUGAGUAACCUGCCCUUGACUUUGGGAUAACUUCAGGAAACUGGGGCUAAUACCGGAUAGGAGCUCCUGCUGCAUGGUGGGGGUUGGAAAGUUUCGGCGGUUGGGGAUGGACUCGCGGCUUAUCAGCUUGUUGGUGGGGUAGUGGCUUACCAAGGGUUUGACGGGUAGCCGGCCUGAGAGGUUGACCGGCCACAUUGGGACUGAGAUACGGACCAGACUCCUACGGGAGGCAGCAGUGGGGAAUAUUGCACAAUGGGCGGAAGCCUGAUGCAGCAACGCCGCGUGCGGGAUGACGGCCUUCGGGUUGUAAACCGCUUUCGCCUGUGACGAAGCGUGAGUGACGGUAAUGGGUAAAGAAGCACCGGCUAACUACGUG